GAGGGUAUAGCUCAAGUGGUAGAGCACAUGCUUAGCAUUCAUGAGGCCCUGGGUUCAAUCCUCAGCACCUCCC
rnacentral:tRNA from 1 species